rnacentral:rRNA from 1 species
UACGGGGGGGGGCAAGCGUUGUCCGGAGUUACUGGGCGUAAAGGGCGCGCAGGCGGCGGCGUGGGUCCGGCGUGAAAGCCCCCGGCUCAACCGGGGAACGUCGUCGGGGACCGCGCCGCUUGAGGGCGGCAGGGGCCGGUGGAAUGCCUGGUGUAGUGGUGAAAUGCGUAGAGAUCAGGCGGAACACCCGUGGCGAAGGCGGCCGGCUGGGCCGUCCCUGACGCUGAGGCGCGAAGGCGUGGGGAGCGAACG